rnacentral:rRNA from 1 species
AUUGAACGCUGGCGGCAUGCCUUACACAUGCAAGUCGAACGGCAGCACGGGAGCAACCCUGGUGGCGAGUGGCGAACGGGUGAGUAAUGUAUCGGAACGUGCCCAGUCGUGGGGGAUAACGUAGCGAAAGCUACGCUAAUACCGCAUACGAUCUAUGGAUGAAAGCGGGGGAUCGCAAGACCUCGCGCGAUUGGAGCGGCCGAUAUCAGAUUAGGUAGUUGGUGGGGUAAAGGCUCACCAAGCCGACGAUCUGUAGCUGGUCUGAGAGGACGACCAGCCACACUGGGACUGAGACACGGCCCAGACUCCUACGGGAGGCAGCAGUGGGGAAUUUUGGACAAUGGGCGCAAGCCUGAUCCAGCAAUGCCGCGUGCAGGAUGAAGGCCUUCGGGUUGUAAACUGCUUUUGUACGGAACGAAACGGUGAGCUCUAAUACAGUUUGCUAAUGACGGUACCGUAAGAAUAAGCACCGGCUGACUACGUGACAGCCGCCGCGGUAA